GGAGAGAAAGGACAUGGAAGGAAUUUAGAAUUCAGUGCAAAGGUGCUGCAGUGUCACUGCUAACUUACCCCUAGCUAAAAGCUGUUAUUUUGGUGAGGUUUUAUUCCUAUAACACGCCAAAUAAACCUCUAUUUCCUCGUUCUUGGCUUGCGAUGCCAUUUUAGGCAGCCAUUUCACAAAGUCUCUAGGCUGUCAUGUGAUCUGGCAUCCAUAUUAGUAACUGCCUACCUGUUUCACGCUUAUUGCAAAAUAGACAUCAAUUAUUAAUUUAUUAAAUUAACUAAUCUCAGAAAGAAGGAGAAAACACUCCUGUGGUGUAAUAAUAGUUAGAAAUUCGAUGUAAAUGUGGCACAAGGCAGAAAAGGAUGUCACAGAGAAGACACACAGGUCAUUUCUGGAUGUUUAGACUGUUAUGGCUCUAUUUUAUUUUCUGGACCAGAAUCCAAUAGUAAAUAGUCUAUGCACAAAAGAUUGCUAGAAAGAUGAGACGCCUCUUUCUGGCUAUCAAACCCAUCUAAAAUGCUCAGGGAAAUGGUGUAUAAAAUCCAUUGUUUGACUUUUCCUUGAGAAGAGGAAAGGCGCUUGAUUCUACAAGUAUUUCUUAAACUGAUUCUCUUCAGAGAAAAAUCAGAAACCAGAUGAAUUUGCUCCUUAAAAGUUGGAGGUAGAGGAAGCAAAUCCCUUGGAGUGCUGGAGUGAAAUAAAAUGAAAGUGCUCAAGUGAAAUGCUUGUAGUUCUGCUGUCUUAAGACAAGGCUUCGAAAACCAGAGCUGCUACAGGGUUUGAAAACUGGAACUGCACUGCCUCCUCCAGGAGAAAGGGGACACCUGCAGGUUGGAAAUCUCACCAACUGGCGCAAGCUGGAGGGAUUCAGUGGAGGUGGUGACUGAGAAACAGCUUCUCCAAAUGCUGGAAAAGUGCUUCACUAAGCUCAUAAUAGUCACAGAUAAUUGAUGGAUUUUAAUUUUCAGUAUGCAUUCUUCAUAUUCCCUAGGGAAAUAUGCAGAGCUGUGCUUUUUGAGAGUAUAGCAUUUAAAAAUCAACCAAUUUCUGGCCUUGGAAGCAAGGGGCAGAGGGCAGAGGGCAGAAGGUAUGAGCAGAUGUAGGGACAGCAACGGGAAUGAACACUUUCCGGAUGCCAGCUCAUCCCAAGUGCCCCGUCUGAGUCUCUUCACUGCCUUUAUGGUCUCUUCUCAAGACUGGCAUUAGUAUUCCUAUUUAUAGAUUUGCUUCACAGUAGUCAGGAAACAGCCCGGGGUCACAGAAUUAUCACGUGACACGGCUGGAAGUAGAAAGCAGCUGUGUCCAUCUCUUUCCAGCAUGUCCGGUGUCCAGCGCCCUCCCGUAAGGUGGACAGAUCUGUAGCAGGAAGCCUGACCUCAUCACUUCACACAGCCACAGCUGACUCUGCCUCGCUCUGUCCUGCAGAAAUCACGCUCCAAGCCUUUCUCCAUGGCCCGCACCAACAAAACACGGACAAUAAUCACGACGGAAGCUGUUUGCCCUCGCUAGGAAAAGGGGGCACAAAACUGAGGAACAGGAGACUUGGCUUUGAGGCUGGCACUGACCUUGAUUCAGGUGCUCCUGGGACUCAGUUUCUAUUGCUGAGGGACUUGAAGUUAUUUCCGAUGGCAACCUUCAGUAGUUGAUAAUAGCAAUAGCGACCACUAUGCUGAGAACUUUCUACCCAACGUGCAAUUCGGUGCUUCUCAAGCUUGGCACUGUUGACAAUUGCUGUGGGACUGUCCUGUGCUUCGUAGGGUUUUAGCACCAUCCCUGGCUUCAACCCCAGAGACCCUAGUGGCACCCAUGUCAAGUGUGACAAUCACGACAUCUUCACAUAUCGCUGAAUGUCCUUCACAUUGGGCACCAGGAUCUUCCUUCCCUUUGAGGUACGUAUUUUUCUCAUUUUUCAGGUGAAGAAACCAAGGCAGAAUGAUAAAGCAAAAAUCACAGACCAAGGGAAUAGCAUAGCCAGGGUAUGAACCUAUGCCUGAGCAACAUCUCUUCGGCAUUUCUUUUAGUAGAAUACAGUGCCUACUCUCUGUCAUCCUGUCUGAAAUCUUCAUCCAUCACCUUCAUUAAAGGCUAUGAUCUGUCCUAUCUCCUCCAUUCUUGCUGCAGUCGUUAUGUGCUAAUACCCUUCUCACAUCCCUACCCGGCUGGUCUGUGAAUUCCCUGAAGAAAAUUGUCCUGAAUCACUUGCUUCUAAUGUAAUCACACCAGGCAGGGUGAAUGCACACAUGUUCACUUAAUAAAUGGGUAGACUUAACCCAUUACUUUAAUCUAUCCCGUUCAAAUCCAGUUCACACUGCUAAUGUCCAUUAUGAAGAAAAAGGUCAUUUCAGCCAGCGUAAGUUCCAACCGGCCCACGUGCAAAAUGAUUAGGAAAUGAACACUGAAUCUGAGUAAAUGAAAUUUUGAACACUCAGGACGUAAUAAUCUUUUGGGGGUAAAUUUUUAGAAACUAAUUGUUGUCCCUGAAACUAAAGGGCAGCCAUGAUUCCUACCACUUGUAUCCAAAAUUAGGACUCAGGCAAGAGAUAGGCAGGAAAAUGUGUAUUACUCGUUAAGGACUCAGUUGCGGCUGCUCCGUGUCAGGGCAGGUCUUCUGAGGUGGAAGGAGGUGCUACUGUCCUUCCUCCAAAAGGCAUCCAGCGCCUUUCCAGCAAUAGGGCGCGCUUGUUUUCUGCUGUUUUUCCAGCAGGCAAGACGAAUUGUUCUGAGCAGCUUUUGUGCCACCUGCCUGGAUGAAAGAGACUCCAAUCUGUCGAGUGCUUUGUAGAAAUUUCCCUCAGUAAAAGCCAGCUGACCAGCCCUGCCUGGGAUUAAACCAGGCACCACCUCACCGUCUGCAUGAAGCCCUAAACCAGAGGGUGUGGGAUGAUGAGUUCAUGGGCAGGGAGUGGUGGCAAGGGCGUACAAGUUAAAUUUGCAAGUCUUGAUUUGCUCCUCAUGAUUCCUUCUUCUCAAAUGGCACAGCAUGUGCGGGGAGUUAAAACGAGCAGCAUUGUCAUGAUGCAGCCAAGCCUGAUUAGACAGCCCGGAAUUCACUUCCCCAGUUUUCUGCGUGGGCUGCACACAGCAUGAGAGGGAAUGAGAGAAAAGGCUUCAUGGCUCGGAGACGGCUGCACCAUAAAUGAUACAGACACGCCUGACAAGCCCUCCCUCAUCUGGGAGGACAGGCAGGCUCUGCAGGAGCCUGGAACCUCGCUGCAGUUGUGUCAUGCUGGGCACAGCCCACGCAUCUGCAGCACGGCUGGAGCAAGUGCUGUUCUGGCCCUUUCCCACUCCCUUCUUUUUCUUCUCUUCCUUUACCAUGCUCUUAGUCUCACUUUCAUGCUUUUCUUUCAUAUUAACGGGCAUUAACCCUUCUUUCUUUCAAGAUCUUUAAAAAGAGCAAAUUCUUUGUGCUUCCACGCAAUAUUGUGCCCAUUCAGCUGGAAAGCAGUGCAGAUGCUCGGUCUGAUUCCUAUUAGAACCCUCAAUACCUAGUACUUUCAGCUCCUGGUAGAUCUUUUAUGCUUAAUAACAUUGAAUGAAUGAAUGACCGAAUGAAUGGAUAAUAAAACAAAGAAACAAGUAAGCCAGCAUGUGAGAGCUGUGGAAGUGGCAGUUUCUGCAGUCAUUUUAACCUUUCCUGGCUUUACUCUGACCCAACACAGAAAAACAUCAGCAAAGACUGUGUACUAAAAGGAUAUUCUAAGUGCAUGGAACAGGUAACAGUGAUUAAAAGGACUGGCUGCGGAGUAUGACAGAUGCUGGUAUACCCCUCAGCUCCGGGAUGUACAAGUUGGGUGACUUGAGUUACAUAAACUUUCUCUGCCUUCAUUUCCCAGUAACAAACUGGCCCUCAGAGUAUCUACCCACCUCAGAGAACACAAGGAGUAAGUGAAAUAAGAUGUGUGAAGCACAGCGUGCAGAAUGAGGUCAUUAAAAUCCCAGUGUACUGUGCUCUUUAUGUAUCAAGAUGUUUGAAUUGAGAAGGAACAUGAAGGACAUUCUUUGGAUAAAGAAAGUAUGCCCUGCUGAGUUUUGCUCCAAACCCUCCAACGUGGGGCAAUAUGGCCUGAUGUGCUCACUCACGCUCAAACACUGGAGCCUUAACAGUAACAGCAAGCACACUGCUCGCGGUUCUAAGCUACAGGGCUAGGGAAAGAACACAUAAUGAUUGCAAAGCAGGAAAGAGCUUCCACAGAAGUCAUCCCACACCUUAGCGCUCCUUGCAAUUCCUUGAGAUUCACCAUGGCACAGGAGGAGGAAGAGUCAUCCCCCCUAAGCCGCCUCCUUUCUAUAACACCCGCCACUCUUCCAGCAUUGCCUUAAGUCUCUGCAAGUGACAGUCUUCUACCUUCUCCCCAAUAUAUGCCUGUGUGAGCCAGGAAAGAGUAAAGAGCUGGAAAGUCAAGUUUCCUUUGUGUUACAACUCAUCAGUUCUGGUUCUUUAUUAAAGUGACAUACUAAUCUCCACCCACAGUAAACAUGAAAAACCUUCUAGUAUACAUGAAAUGCUCUACAUUAUGUUAGUAUAUGUUGACAUAAUAAUUUGAACUUGGGAGGAAAAGGUACAAAUUUGAAUUUUGCCUAUGUUUUGUCAGAUAGGAAAAGGUGAAAAUACUUAAUGAAGACCAAAAAUAUCUUCAACCUGCAUUUUCACUCAUAUAAAACAUGCAUGAAUCACUUUUUAAAGAAACCAUUUUUCCACUGAAGAUAAAGUGUUGCCUUAUGCGUGACUGGAUAUGUGGGUUUGAAAAGUUAAAAUUUUACUUUGAUGUUAUAAAGGUAAGUGUUGCCUGAGCAAAAGGAGCAAAAUAUUUUGUUAACCUCUGAUGCAGGUUGAUUGAUUUUGAUACUACACCAAAUCAAGUUAUUAGGAAGUAUGAUAAGGUCCAUUUAGAAUCACCUGGUACAAGCUCUGUUGCCAUGGGAACAAUUAAACCAUGACACACGAAGUAUCCAGGGUCAGUGUUCAUGCAGCAUGACAGGUCUGUGUCCUGCUUCCAUGAGGACAGCAAGUGACUUCCCAACCAGGGGCUUUAAAACUUCCCUCCUUACUAGAAUAGUGUGGGUCCCACAGGAAGGAAACAGAUCCAAAGUGUCUGUGGCUGAUAACAAGAGUGAGGUAGGGCCAAUAAGCCACAAUGUAUUUUUGACCGCUAUGUACCAUUAAGACAUAAGGCGGGGGAAAGAUAGGUUUUUUACAGUAACAAAUAUGGUCUUUACUUCAUGAA